rnacentral:rRNA from 1 species
GAUGAACGUUAGCGGGAGGCUUAAUACAUGCAAGUCGAGCGGUAAGUUUUUAUAGCAAUAUGAAGACCUAGAGCGGCGCACGGGUGAGUAACGCGUACACGACCUGGCCUAAACUGGGGGAUAGCCUUGGGAAACUGAGAGUAAUCCCGCAUGUGAUUAUGUUACUGAUGGUGAUAUAAUUAAAGCUUCGGCGGUUUAGGAUGGGUGUGCGUCUGAUUAGCUAGUUGGUAGUGUAACGGACUACCAAGGCGAUGAUCAGUAGGGGGCGUGAGAGCGUGACCCCCCCACACGGGUACUGAGACACGGACCCGACUCCUACGGGAGGCAGCAGUAAGGAAUAUUGGUCAAUGCCCGGAAGGGUGAACCAGCCAUCCCGCGUGAAGGAUGAAGGGGCUCUGCCUUGUAAACUUCUUUUGUAUGGGGCGAAAAAAGGGGAUUUAUCCUCGACUGACGGUACCAUAAGAAUAAGCACCGGCUAACUCCGUGCCAGCAGCCGCGGUAAU